CUGUAAUCUCCCAGCUGGCUUCACAAGGGAUAACACCAAAGGUGUUCUCUCAUUGCUUAAAAGGAGAUGAUGCUGGUGGUGGUGUAUUAGUUCUUGGAGAAAUUGUGGAGCCAAAUAUUGUUUAUACUCCACUUGUCCCAUCACAGCCUCAUUAUAAUUUAAAUCUACAGAGCAUUUCUGUUAAUGGCCAAACUUUAGCCAUUAAUCCAUCAGUUUUUGCAACAUCAACCAGUCAGGGAACAAUAGUUGAUUCUGGAACAACCUUGGCAUAUCUUUCUGAAGCAGCUUAUGGUCCUUUUGUCAAUGCUAUUACAUCUAUUGCUUCACAAAAUGCACGCACAUAUCUUUCUAAGGGAAAUCAAUGUUACUUAGUCACCACCAGUAUUAAUGAUGUAUUUCCUCAAGUUAGUUUCAACUUUGCUGGAGGUGCAUCCUUGAUUUUAAAUCCUCAGGACUACCUUCUACAGCAAAAUUCUGUUGGUGGAGCUGCAGUAUGGUGCAUUGGCUUUCAAAAAACUCCAGGUCAAGAAAUUACUAUCUUAGGAGAUCUUGUUCUAAAAGACAAAAUCUUUGUUUAUUGCUAAUCAACGGCUUGGAUGGACUAAUUAUGAUUGUUCCAUGUCUGUAAAUGUCUCUACAACUACAAAUACUGGCAAAAGCGAGUUUGUCAAUGCAGGUGAGAUCAGUAACAACAGUUCACCAAGGAAUGUGCCUCACAAGCUGAUACCAAUAACCAUGAUAACUCUCCUUCUGCGCAUGUUUACGCUUGGAACUUACUGGUUUUUAUAACAUACCCUGAACUACCAUUCUUUCUUUGUAAUGCUCUUGCUGGUUUAUAUUUAUUGAAACUGGCAGAGCCACGCAGUCUUUAGUUCUUUCUGAGUGUGCAAUAGCUUGGGAGUCUGAAUCUUUAGUGAGCUCU
rnacentral:misc_RNA from 1 species